rnacentral:lncRNA from 10 species
CAAAGUUUUAAAACUUAUCAUGGUAUCACAUGCAAGAAAAAUGCAAUCUCUGACAAAUUAUGUCAAGGAAGGCAGGUACUGUUUCUAGUGAUCAAGGUAUGAAAACAAUUCAUCCUCAUUUGAAAAUAAACUGAAGGCAGAACAAAGACUAGAAGCCAUAUUCUUUAACCUCUACUUCCUCUCUCGACUCAGCAGUUGCAGUGCAAUAAAUUAUUAUUGUAAAUGUUCUCCCCACACCUCUUUUGCUCCAAGAUAAAUAAUUUGAAUGACAACAAAUAUGGAGAAAGUAUUCAAAGAGAAUGGGGGCGAAAUUUAUUGCACAGAGGCCAAUGGAUAGCUGGAAAUGGUUCAGAACUAUAUAAGCCUGUUGCCACUAAAUUGGAGGUGGACAUUUGCCCACAAUAUCAAACCAUUUGUAUGGUGAUGCUUUAUGAAUACACCUACUUUGUUUUGGAAGUUACGUAUAAAUGUAUAUCUAGAUGUCUAUGUAUCUAUCUAUUAUCUAUUUUAAUAUAAAAUUUCUAACACUAACUCUUGAUUCUUCUAAAUCUAUUUAACUUUACUACCAAAAUUCAUAUUUUUAAUUUAUAGAUUCUUAAUAUUUUAAUUUGCAAUAAAGCAGAUAAAAGUAGCUGAACUUUUUCAAAAUAAUGUAUUCCUACUGCUGUCCUGAAACAUACAUUCCUGUUCAUCAUAGACAUUGUGUUAAACAUUGUCAACUUACAAGUGGAAAUAAACUUUUUGUUAUUUCUAAUUUCUAUUAUCUUGAAAUGUGUUAAUCACUUUAUUUUUGUAAGUGUAUAUCUCUAAGCUCCUAAAAACUUAGUGACAUACAAAUUUAUUAUAAUAUUUCCAACCUCAAAUAUUUUCUUUUAUGUCUAUAAAAUAAAUAUAUCCCUAGUUGACAG